rnacentral:rRNA from 1 species
UACGGAGGAUGCGAGCGUUAUCCGGAUUUAUUGGGUUUAAAGGGUGCGUAGGCGGAUUUUUAAGUCAGCGGUAAAAUGUCCGGGCUCAACCCCGGCCUGCCGUCGGAACUGGGUGCCUUGAGUGGGCGAGAAGUAUGCGGAAUGCGUGGUGUAGCGGUGAAAUGCAUAGAUAUCACGCAGAACCCCGAUUGCGAAGGCAGCAUACCGGUGCACAACUGACGCUCAGGCACGAAAGCGUGGGUAUCGAACAGG